UCCCUAGUGGUCUAGUGGUCAUUGAUUUCUCGCUUUCACCGAGACGGCCCGGGUUCGAUUCCCGGCUGGGGAA